ensembl:ribozyme RNaseP_nuc Nuclear RNase P
GUGCAGGCAAAGUGCACAUCAGGGCAUUCAUGGUCCCUAGAAGGUUUAAGGCUGGAGCCUCCUAUGGCCCUAACAAGGCUUUCCCUUAGUUGAGAAGUGAGUUCCCAGAGAGCAGGGCUUCACAACUAGACAGACUGAACAGGGGAGGCCCCAAGUGCAGCUGACUCCUGGUCACUCAUUUAGUUCAGUAAAUGGCUAUCCUUGCCAAGAGAAAUGCUCGUUC